ensembl:ncRNA K08E4.11 ncRNA
UUGUUUGUGUAAUGUGCUCUUGGAGAGCAAAAGUUUAUAUGUGAGUCAGAGAAACAAACGAUGUAAAACAGGAAUUAUUCAUGUUUUAAUUUUUAGUUUGGAUUACGGUAGCUCACAAAAGGUUCGAACUUAAAAAUAUAUGUAUAUUAU